CCUACGGGAGGCAGCAGUGAGGAAUAUUGGUCAAUGGCCGAGAGGCUGAACCAGCCAAGUAGCGUGAGGGAAGACUGCCCUAUGGGUUGUAAACCUCUUUUGUCGGGGAGUAAAGUGAGUCACGUGUGACUCUUUGCGUGUACCUGAUGAAUAAGGAUCGGCUAACUCCGUGCCAGCAGCCGCGGUAAUACGGAGGAUCCGAGCGUUAUCCGGAUUUAUUGGGUUUAAAGGGAGCGCAGGCGGAGGUGUAAGUCAGCGGUAAAAUUUCGGGGCUCAACCUCGUACUGCCGUUGAAACUGGAGCCCUUGAGUGCGCGAGAGGUAUGCGGAAUGCGUGGUGUAGCGGUGAAAUGCUUAGAUAUCACGAAGAACUCCGAUUGCGAAGGCAGCAUGCCGGAGCGCAACUGACGCUGAUGCACGAAAGCGUGGGUAUCGAACAGGAUUAGAUACCCUAGUAGUC
rnacentral:rRNA from 1 species